rnacentral:rRNA from 1 species
UGACCUCGGAUCAGUAGGAAUACCCGCUGAACUUAAGCAUAUCAA